GAUGAAGAACGUAGCGAAAUGCGAUAAGUAAUGUGAAUUGCAGAAUUCAGUGAAUCAUCGAAUCUUUGAACGCACAUUGCGCCCGUCAGUAUUCUGGCGGGCAUGCCUGUUCGAGCGUCAUUACGCCCCUCAAGUCCCCUGUGGACUUGGUGUUGGGGAUCGGCGAGGCUGGUUUUCCAGCACAGCCGUCCCUUAAAUUAAUUGGCGGUCUCGCCGUGGCCCUCCUCUGCGCAGUAGUAAAACACUCGCAACAGGAGCCCGGCGCGGUCCACUGCCGUAAAACCCCCCAACUUUUUAUAGUUGACCUCGAAUCAGGGAGGACUACCCGCUGAACUUAAGCAUAUCAAUAAGCGGAGGA
rnacentral:misc_RNA from 1 species